CUUUGACCCCUGAGGGUAUUGUGGAAUGAUAAUGUUAUGCAGAUGAGCUGGGGCUAUCUCCUGCCAGCUCCAAUCACACCAGUACAGUGUACAUAUCGCAAACCGCUGUCAAAGGAUCACUUAAUCAGUAGACCCUGAAAAUUCUACUAGGCCCAAUCCAACUCAGCGUACUGUAAUCACAUUUCCAACCAUGACAACCAGGCAUCUAAAUCAGGAGCCUGACCUGAGUUCAUGUACAGGCUGAACGGAAAUUGCCAAAGGGACUUGGAAACAAACCUCUGAAGACUACCACAUUCCAGGUGGACAAAGGGCCGACUCUCGCAGCGAAGCAAAGGCCUCGAUCCCAUGGAGAUUGGAGUGGAUGAUCUGUUGGUCCUGGGAGGCAGAACGGAGAAAAAACAUGAGUAUUCUGUAAUUACCUGGAAAGCCUUUCUUAGUGUCCCGUUAAGGGCUCUAGCCAGUGCAUUUUUAGCAUAACGGGCCAGCACAAUAUAAUUUGCAACCACAACACUGAGGGUGAGGACCACUAUGCUAAAUUUCAACUAGCGUAGUGGUACUUUUGCUACUAUUUACUAGCAAAACAAUAUUAUAGUACAUACAUGUAUGAUGAAAUAUGAAAAUUGUUGAUAUGACACUGCAAACCAAAAAAAUCCUUCAAAUUACAUGUCAACUCAAGGGUACCCUAAAAUGCCAACUUUCUAACAUUUUCAAAAUCUCCACGCUAUCACCCCGAUUGGUCACGAAGGCUUUGCUACCUCGCCAUUGCCGUUACGCUCAAAUAAAAUCCUGGCUAGAGCCCUGGCGUUACUCAAGCCAAUCAACAUUGACUUUGGAAGUCAUCACAAGUGCAUCAAGUCUAAACCCUCAAGAAUAAAAGAACAUGAUGAAUGCGA